GGAGUUAGCCGGUGCUUCUUCUGCGAGUAACGUCACAGAUGUAAGGUAUUAACUUACACCCUUUCCUCCUCGCUGAAAGUGCUUUACAACCCGAAGGCCUUCUUCACACACGCGGCAUGGCUGCAUCAGGGUUUCCCCCAUUGUGCAAUAUUCCCCACUGCUGCCUCCCGUAGGAGUCUGGGCCGUGUCUCAGUCCCAGUGUGGCUGAUCAUCCUCUCAGACCAGCUAGGGAUCGUCGCCUAGGUGAGCCUUUACCUCACCUACUAGCUAAUCCCACCUGGGCUUAUCCAUCAGCGCAAGGCCCGAAGGUCCCCUGCUUUCCCCCGUAGGGCGUAUGCGGUAUUAGCAGUCGUUUACAACUGUUAUCCCCCACAAAUGGGCAAAUUCCCAGGCAUUACUCACCCGUCCGCCGCUCGUCAUCUUCAAAAGCAAGCUUUUGAAAUGUUACCGCUCGACUUGCAUGUGUUAGGCCUGCCGCCAGCGUUCAAUCUGAGCCAGAAUCAAACCUCUGA
rnacentral:rRNA from 1 species